UAAUGGACAUCUGUUACUUCCUGAUUGCCAAAGGACUGUCCAGUCCUGCCGAGUGCUGUGAGGGGCCACCUUACGCAGUGGCAGAGUCUGGCAUGCUAGCAGAAUGCUGUGGAGUGGCACGUGUCAGAGGACACCUCAGUUCACGUCGGACCAUUCACAGCAGCAGAAGGGCAGGAUCGGCUGUAGAAAAGCAGAGGAUUCACUGUAGGUGGCUUUCACACAUCAGCAAGCAUUACCUGUGGGGCGGG
rnacentral:lncRNA from 1 species